UCUUCUUCUCAUUAUUUUCAGUUUGGGCGGGAUGGAAAUCAGAUAAUUAAAGAAAGAAAGCAAAGGAUCCGUCUUGGAAAGUUCCUUUCUUUUUCUAUGUAAACUCCUUUGUUUUCUCAAUAACCAAACAUAGGUAUUUAUGUCUCAAAGAAAAGCACUUGUUUAUUAGCUCUGAAAAUUGAGAGAGCAACAACUGGUUUAUUGGUUUGCAAAUACUCAUGGAGAUCAAUCUUCUUCUUAGUCAUGGAGAUCAAUCUUCUUCUUAGCCAUCUUUAACACCUUAGUGACGGAUCGAGGAAUCUUACCUUAUAUAGUGUAAAAGGUAGUGAAUGUGGCGACAGGAUUUUGGCGAUGACCGAGAGAUGGGGGUUAAGGGUUUUGGGGGGAGAUUGAGGGGUUUAAGGUUGAGGAGAAAUAGAAAUGGGGUUUGGAGUAGAUGGAUUUCGUGAUUUUAUCUGAUAAUCCAAUUAUGUUCCGAAUUUGUUAGUGGAACAAAUCUGAAUGUGGCUACAUCCGAUCUGAUAAUAAUCCGAUCUGUUUUGAUAUAAUAUAGUAUUUAUUUAAUUUUUGUAAUCAAAUAUAUUGAUAGAUUAAUUUGCUUACUUUUUUAUAUUUUAAAUCCAAUGUUUUAAUAGCCCAAUUGAUAUUCAAAUCCCUAAACCCAACUUUACCCCUAAGUCUAAAGCCCAACUUCGCAGCCCGAAUAAAAACCCUACCUCUCUUCCCCUAAAUCCUAUCAUUCUCCUCUCACUUCGGCCGCCUCCAUCUAAACUUCUCUCUCUCUCAACGUUCCUCUUCUUCAUGGCUAGCUCUUUCUUCUCUGUCUAUCUUUUUCUUGACAGAGUUUGAAAUGAAAAGUAAGAGUGAAGGAACACAAGAAGCGUGCUCUUCUUCUUCUUCUUCCUCAGGUGCGCAGCGCUUCUUGAGUUUCAGGGAUGAGGUCGUACAACUAUAAUGUCUAUGACGAGCCCAUAAAGGUAGUGGUCACUCAAAACUUGAUCAUAACCAUAUCCAUAGCUAGCCAGCCAAGCUAGCCUAUCAGUUUUUUUUUUUUUUUGGGUUGCAUAUAUUUCUUGAUUGGUAUCUUUAAUUUUUAAUUGAAUUUUUAAUUAGCUAGUCUCUUUUCUUAGGCUACUUCAGAAUCAGCAGAGUGGAUAUUUUUAGCCACUAAUCUUGGCCUAGAGAUGUUGUCAGCUGCUUGUGAUCAGGUUCCUCCCCAAGAAAACCCCAUUAUGCACUAUCUGGUAUGCUGUUGGCUAUUGCAGCUGUGCUCAUUUCCAUCUGGGAGCUUACAGCAUACCAAAUAGUGCAUAGUGGGGUUUUUUUUGGAACUCUUCCUGACAUUUAUGGACUAGUUGCUGGCAUCUCACAUUGCAUUUGCUGUAUAGUUCAGUAUGUUUACUGCCUUCGGCAUGGUAAUAAUCCUUUCAAAGCAUCCCUUUUGCCUGCCAUAUUUCUUCUCUGUUUAGGUGGUUCAAAACUAAGUAAUAACCGAAGGAACGCCAAUACCACUGAUAACAUCUUGAGAAAGCCUUUGGAUGGUAAUUCCUCUACCUCUAUCUCUACAAUUACUAGCACUUCACGUUCAAGCCCGCUAUUUCAGGCUCAACGGGGUCUUCUUCGAUCCAGGUGGAAAGCCCCUCGGAUGCGCUGGACUACCACUCUACACACUCGCUUUGUUCAUGCUGUUAACCUUUUGGGUGGCCAUGAAAGUGAGAACUAGUCCUUGCUUUCUUCUUUAAUUAUCCUUUGUUUAUACGUUGUCUUCAACAACUUACAGGGGCUACACCAGAGUCAGUUCUUGAGCUUAUGGAUGUCAAAAUCUCACCUUGGCCAUGUCAGAUCUCAUUUACAGGUUGAGGGCAACAUGGUUACCGGUGAGGGGGUGGUGGUGGGAGGCUGGGAGGUGCUGGCUGACGAUGGGCACGUCGGUGGUGGCUGGGAUGAGGUGAUGGCUGAGCAGCAGCAGCUGAGUGUAGCAACUGCUGAUGCAUUGGGCAGUGGCGGCUGGCUUGAAGGCGGAUUGACGGAGGUGGACAUGUGGCUUGACUUCGAAGUAGUGGCAUUGUGUGUAAUUUUGAUAUUUUUUAAUUACAUUAUUGUAAAAUUAAGUACCACUUUUUGGUUAUUGGCUUUAUGCUAAUUAGGUAAAAUUGAAGAAAUCAGAAGAAAAACAAGAUUCGGAGCUUUGAUUUUCUCUGUUA